AUGCCAAUCACGCCCCCCUUCGGUCUCCUCGAGCCUCUGAAGCUCGUCAUCGAUGACGGCCGCUCCCCUUCGAUACCGGAGAGCACGCCAGUGCACAUCAUGGUUCCCGUCGAUGCCCGGAUGGCGGUCCUUGUGUCCAUCGACGGGAGCGGGAACGUCACGGUGAGCGCUCCGUCCUGGCGCAUACCUAUAAUCAGGGCCGGAAAGUUCGAGGCCACUACCUCCUCCGGCGCGGGGCCACUGUCAUUCGUUGACCUACAUACUGAUGGGCGCUACUCCGGCAUAGAUUUCCCCGUUCCCGCUGGGGCGUACAGAAGCAUCGGGGAAAUCAUCAAGGCAACCUGCUCCUGCUUAAGCCGCCCCUGCCCCUCUCACUAUCGGCAUGAGGAUGGUCCCUCUGCGCUGCAACAGCCGAGUGACUCGUCCCCCACUACAACGUUUGAGGACUUGGAGGAGGCCAUGUUCGAGGCAGCUCCAACAUUUGAGGCCACUUCCUCUACCUGUCCGCAGGCACAGGCAGUAACUCCCGGGUCACCCAUGUCACCCAUUUUGAGCCAUAUACGACAUGAUUGGGGUCUGGAAUUUUACAUCAGGGUUGAUCACCAAGGAUCAUUCCACACAUAUCCUGACAUUGGUGGCCCGUUUCAGAGCUUGCAACAAGCUAAAAAUGCCAUUGAUCAACAUCUUCAUGGCCGUCGUCACACCUCAAUGUGCAUGGAGCAAGCUGGUGUUUCUCAAAAUGAGAUGGGUAUACGGCAGUGUCUUUUUUGGCCCGAUGGCACAAGGAAGAAGCGCACAAAAUCAUAUAUAUUUAAGAAGGGCCAUGAACAUAUAUCCAGAUUGGUGUGUGCUAUAGUGGACCAGUAUAAUGAGGAUCACAAUCUUUUGGGGGAUCUUGCAUACAAACUCAAAGACAUGGUGAGACACAAAUCAUUUCGUGAGAAGGAUGAAUGGUACCGCCAUCUGAAUUUCACCGCAAAGAUUAAAGGAGCUGAUGGCUUGGACUGGUUUGAAAAACUGUUCUUUGUUGAACUAAGAAAUACAAAACAAGAAGAGAGCUAUGGAGAGUGGGUAGUCAGCUGUUUUUGCAUGGUCGAUCCUACUGAUAAUGGUCAUUGUGGUGGUUGUAAAAGUGGUGUGAGGCACCCCAACAAAGCUGAUGCAUACACUUGUGGUCAUGUGGGUGCAGAUGAGCUAUGUGGAUGCCCGGCAGAGUGGAGCGACUCCGAUGAAGAUGAUAGGAGCAAGGAGCGUAGGAUAAGACGUAUGUACAAGGGCCGGAAACCUUUCGUCCUCCCUGCGUCGGCUGUACCCAAGGAGAUAGCAUAA
rnacentral:rRNA from 1 species